rnacentral:lncRNA from 1 species
GAAAAAUAUGAAAAAGAAAAAAAAAGCUAAGAGAAGGACAAAAAAGAGAUCAACAUACAUAACAUAUUACGUAUAGCAUGCAUGACUUCAUAAAGCAUCUCAUUGAAUAACUUCCUACAAUACCUUACAUCACACUCAUUUCACUCAUUCCCUGCGGGAAAAUUUCGUGGUUAUUUUAAGUAUUUAAUCCUCUCCUACCGUGAAAGUUUGAAAGCAGUUGUUAUUCUUGCCUUCAG